rnacentral:rRNA from 1 species
CUACGGGAGGCUCCAGUGGGGAAUAUUGGACAAUGGGGGAAACCCUGAUCCAGCAAUGCCGCGUGUGUGAAGAAGGCCUGCGGGUUGUAAAGCACUUUCGGUUGGGAGGACUGCUUCUAGCACUAAUAUUGUUGGAAGUUGACGUUACCUUCAGAAGAAGCACCGGCUAACUCCGUGCCGGCAGCCGCGGUAAUACGGGGGGUGCAAGCGUUAAUCGGAAUUACUGGGCGUAAAGCGCGCGUAGGCGGCUAGAUCAGUCGGGUGUGAAAGCCCCGGGCUUAAUCUGGGAACUGCAUCCGAUACUGUCUAGCUUGAGUACAGGAGAGGAGAGUGGAAUUCCACAUGUAGCGGUGAAAUGCGUAGAUAUGUGGAGGAACACCAAUGGCGAAGGCAGCUCUCUGGCCUGAUACUGACGCUGAGGUGCGAAAGCGUGGGGAGCAAACAGGAUUAGAUACCCCCGUAGUC